CCAGGUUGAUUCUGCCUGACGUAGACGCUAUUCCCUAAGAUUAACCCAUGCAUGUUUUUGACAUUUGAAAAAUGGACUGCUCAGUAAUACUCACUUUAUUUUAUGUACAUUUGAAAUUAACUACGUUAAAGUGUAGAUAAGAUGUGUACAGUAAGAGUGAGACCUAUCAGCUAGUUGUUAAGGUAAUGGCUUAACAAGGCAGUCACGGGUAACGGUAUUACUUUGUAAUAUUCCGGAGAAGGAGCCUGAGAGACGGCUACUAAGUCUAAGGAUUGGAGCAGGGGCGAAACUUGACCUAUGGAUUUUAUCUGAAGCAGUUAUGGGAAGUAAUAUUAUAUUGUUUCAUAUUUUAAAAGUAUAUGAGGUGAUUAAUUGGAGGGCAAAUCAAGUGCCAGCAGCCGCGGUAAUACUUGUUCCAAGAGUGUGUAUGAUGAUUGAUGCAGUUAAAAAGUCCGUAGUUUAUAUUUAAGAAGCAAUAUGAGGUGUACUGUAUAGUUGGGAGAGAGAUGAAAUGUGACGACCCUGACUGGACGAACA
rnacentral:rRNA from 1 species